rnacentral:rRNA from 1 species
CCAACACACAAAACAAGCGGUGAGUGCUUUGGGGUGGGGUGACUGCGUACCUUUUGUAUAAUGGGUCAGCGACUUAUAUUCUGUAGCAAGGUUAACCGUAUAGGGGAGCCGAAGGGAAACCGAGUCUUAACUGGGCGUUAAGUUGCAGGGUAUAGACCCGAAACCCGGUGAUCUAGCCAUGGGCAGGUUGAAGGUUGGGUAACACUAACUGGAGGACCGAACCGACUAAUGUUGAAAAAUUAGCGGAUGACUUGUGGCUGGGGGUGAAAGGCCAAUCAAACCGGGAGAUAGCUGGUUCUCCCCGAAAGCUAUUUAGGUAGCGCCUCGUGAACUCAUCUUCGGGGGUAGAGCACUGUUUCGGCUAGGGGGUCAUCCCGACUUACCAACCCGAUGCAAACUGCGAAUACCGAAGAAUGUUAUCACGGGAGACACACGGCGGGUGCUAACGUCCGUCGUGAAGAGGGAAACAACCCAGACCGCCAGCUAAGGUCCCAAAGUCACAGUUAAGUGGGAAACGAUGUGGGAAGGCUCAGACAGCCAGGAUGUUGGCUUAGAAGCAGCCAUCAUUUAAAGAAAGCGUAAUAGCUCACUGGUCGAGUCGGCCUGCGCGGAAGAUGUAACGGGGCUAAACUGUGCACCGAAGCUGCGGCAGCGACGCUUAUGCGUUGUUGGGUAGGGGAGCGUUCUGUAAGCCUGCGAAGGUGUCCUGUGAGGGAUGCUGGAGGUAUCAGAAGUGCGAAUGCUGACAUAAGUAACGAUAAUGCGGGUGAAAAGCCCGCUCGCCGGAAGACCAAGGGUUCCUGUCCAACGUUAAUCGGGGCAGGGUGAGUCGACCCCUAAGGCGAGGCCGAAAGGCGUAGUCGAUGGGAAACGGGUUAAUAUUCCCGUACUUGGUGUUACUGCGAAGGGGGGACGGAGAAGGCUAUGUUGGCCGGGCGACGGUUGUCCCGGUUUAAGCGUGUAGGCUGGUUUUCCAGGCAAAUCCGGAAAAUCAAG